UCUUCUCCUAAAAAUGGAAACUUGUGGCAGAACAAGAUUAACCUUACCCCUCCUGCUCUGCAGCUCCCUGGUAGUCGGUUAAAGGCUACCUUGAGUGCAAGAGAUUUGGAUUUAGAGAUGGAAUUGCUCGGAUUAGAAAAGAACGUGAGCCAAUUACAACAUCAACAACAGUUGAUUGACGAGAUUAGCCGGCUCUCAUCUCCUUACUGGAAUGCAGAUGUAAGCAGGACUGCAGAGUUGAAGCCAUCGAACCUUGAUGACAUGUUUGGAUCAUUAGAUUCUUCCUUAUUGUCUCAGUUGCAAGGCGCCUCACUAAAAACACCAAUCUCAGCUCAAGUUCAAUCCCCGACUGGGCUGCAGAUGCGCCAAAGCAUGAGCCAACUUCGUGCAAGUUACCCAGCUAAUAACCUAUCAUCCUCACCUGUAAAGAAACCCUCCUCUUUUGGCUUUGACUCAUCAAGUGCAGUGGCAGCUGCAGUGAUGAACUCAAGGUCUGCUGCCUUUGCAAAACGAAGCCAGAGUUUCAUUGAUCGAGCUGCAGUAUCCCGUCUUCCUGGGUUCACCGGAGCUGCAAAUUCUGCAGCUAC
rnacentral:lncRNA from 1 species